UCGGUGUCCUCUCAACGGGGGGAGGAUGUUACGUCGCGUGAAGAAGUCCGCGCGACGUCCUUCAUUGUCUGAUCGUCAAAGCCCAAGCACCAAUAGAGAGACCCUGAAUAAACCUCAGGCCCCACCAUAAACUGGGUCUUAUUAGCUUGCAGGAACUUUUAAUCCUGCAAGUAUUUUUUAUUUAUAGCUGGUACUGAAAACAGUCCUUAGGUCCAUUGUACGUUCUUACAAUUACUUGACAAGCCAAAUACCACCACCCGACACUAACUAGUGUCGGACGACGGCAACGCAGUGGUUAGCGCCUUAGGUUACGAACGUUCGGAACCCGGGUUCGAAUCCUGGCGACUGGAGUCCGACUUUUAUUUUGCGCAACUAAAUUAGGAAGAAAAAUCAGCAGUACCCCAGCAGCGACAUCUUCUACAGCCGGCAACUACAACUAUCACGGGCACAUAUAUCACCUCAUUACGGAGAAAGCAGGGCACACCCAUACCGAGCUUUCCUCCGCAAUCACAUCAGAAUGAACUUCACUGUUCCUACUGCUC
rnacentral:misc_RNA from 1 species